rnacentral:rRNA from 1 species
AAUAGAUACCCAGGUAGUCCACGCCGUAAACGAUGAGUGCUAAGUGUUAGAGGGUUUCCGCCCUUUAGUGCUGCAGCUAACGCAUUAAGCACUCCGCCUGGGGAGUACGGUCGCAAGACUGAAACUCAAAGGAAUUGACGGGGGCCCGCACAAGCGGUGGAGCAUGUGGUUUAAUUCGAAGCAACGCGAAGAACCUUACCAGGUCUUGACAUCCCACUGACCGCUAUGGAGACAUAGCUUUCCCUUCGGGGACAGUGGUGACAGGUGGUGCAUGGUUGUCGUCAGCUCGUGUCGUGAGAUGUUGGGUUAAGUCCCGCAACGAGCGCAACCCUUGAUCUUAGUUGCCAUCAUUUAGUUGGGCACUCUAAGGUGACUGCCGGUGACAAACCGGAGGAAGGUGGGGAUGACGUCAAAUCAUCAUGCCCCUUAUGACCUGGGCUACACACGUGCUACAAUGGAUGGUACAAAGAGCUGCGAACCCGCGAGGGUAAGCCAAUCCCAUAAAGCCAUUCUCAGUUCGGAUUGU